AUCAUAUGUGAUACAUGCUCUUUGACAGUAUAUAACCACUCUGUACACCCCACUUCUUUGGUGCCUUUCCUUAUAUGGGGAAGGAAGGCCCUGGGCUAAGCUAGUCCUCUGAUCGGGCUCAGAAUAAACUCACCCCAAUGUUCACUGAUAGAUUGGUCAUGGAUUAUUUGUGUCCACACAAUGCACACCCAGGACUGGAAGCUGCUGUGUGGAGUUUGGGGCUCCGGAAUCUUCCCUCCUAUGUGUUCAAGGCAGGACACGCGCUGGUUUUCUGAAGUGUUGGCAUUUCCUCGGAGACAACUGCAUUGUGGGAAUUUGCCCUGUUUCAAAAGGCAAAUCGGGAUAACGCUGCCAGAGGCUUCAAGACAACACAUGCUAUUUGUGAAAACAUACGCAAACGCUGAGGUCUGGGCAGGACAGCAAGAUCCGGGACCAGAUUUCUGACUCAGUUUAUUUCGUGUCUGAAUAACUUUCAGUGUUGGGGGGAGACUUCAAAACCAUAACGUCUCCAGGGAGCUCUCGCCUUGUGCUUCUAACGCUAACCACGUUAGGCUGUCUGUCUUUCCUCCAAGGGCCGGAGUUCAUGGAAGCUCUUCUCAGUAGUCACAGCACUGCUAUUCCGAGGGAAUAAAACAGAGAAAUUGGAUUCA
rnacentral:lncRNA from 1 species